rnacentral:rRNA from 1 species
UACGUAGGGGCCGAGCGUUGUCCGGAGUUAUUGGGCGUAAAGCGCGCGCAGGCGGCCUCGCGCGCCCGACGUGAAAGCCCCCGGCUUAACCGGGGAGGGUCGUUGGGGACGGCGGGGCUUGAGGGCGGGAGAGGGCGGUGGAAUUCCAGGUGUAGCGGUGAAAUGCGUAGAUAUCUGGAGGAACACCGGUGGCGAAGGCGGCAUCCUGGACCGGCAUUGACGCUGAGGCGCGAAAGCCAGGGGAGCAAACGGG